UACGUAGGGAGCAAGCGUUGUCCGGAAUCAUUGGGCGUAAAGCGCGCGUAGGUGGCUUCGUAAGUCCGUUGUGAAAGUCAAAGGCUCAACCUUUGAAAGCCGGUGGAUACUGCGGAGCUAGAGUCCGGAAGAGGCGAGUGGAAUUCCUGGUGUAGCGGUGAAAUGCGCAGAUAUCAGGAAGAACACCCGUGGCGAAGGCGGCUCUCUGGGACGUGACUGACGCUGAGACGCGAAAGCGUGGGGAGCAAACAGG
rnacentral:rRNA from 1 species